rnacentral:rRNA from 1 species
UACGCCCUAAACGAUGAUCGCUAGUUUUUCGGAGUAUCGACCCUCUGAGAGACGAAGCUAACGCGUUAAGCGAUCCGCCUGGGUAGUACGGCCGCAAGGCUAAAACUCAAAGGAAUAGACGGGGACUUGCACAAGCAGAGGAUUAUGUGGUUUAAUUCGAUGAUAAACGAAAAACCUUACCAAGAUUGGAAAUUUAACUGAAUACUCGGAGAAACUCGAGUAGUCCGCAAGGACAGUUAGACAGGUGA